CGAUUUCAGAACGAUGGACAAAGCUGUUCGGCCAGCCUACACGGGAGAAAGAAAAGGAAAAACAAAUUUUUAUCCCAUUUGCCUCCCACCGCAGAAAGGAAUGAUGAGGACUCUGAAAGUCAGUGAAGCUAUAUCAACUGCCCAAGUGAAGGAGAAGUGAGACCAGGACUCAGGUCUAUCCGGCGCUAGAGCCCAUCACUCACAUGGCCUCACGUCACCCACAGAAAUGUGUCAUAGUGGACCAGGAUGCCAAUGGAUACAGUUGGGCUCAUGUAUCUGCAGUUUCCUCCCUGAAGCCUCUCUGGCCACUGUCAUGACAAGCUGGGCUAUGAAAGCCGAAUAAUAACUCUAUGCAUCGCCUCACAACUCUGUUCUGAUAAAGACGGGAAUAUCUGCGUUGCCAUGUUAAUGACUUUAAAAUUUUUACCCCGUGACUAUUUUAUGUUUGCUUUUAAGAUGCGUAAAUGAGCCUCAGGUUACGAUUCUCUAUACUCUCUUCAGAAACGUGACCUAUAACUCAGUAGAGUGAGAACUAACUCCUACCCCGGGGCUCUGAAAAGGGGCUGAGGACCCCUGGCUUUCACAGCAGAUGUUUCUGAGCAGCUCCAGGGAGCAAACCAACCUCCCCAGAGGCAAGGAGAAGGCUCUCGACUGAACAUCCUCCAACUCGGCCAGCUUCCUCUUCUGCAGAGGCGUCCUGGCGAAAUAGAGGACGGAUCACAACAGACUAAAGGGUUGGAGGUGCACGCAUGGCUUUAUUCUCAAUAAUGAUGAGUCACUUCUGUGCAGCCCUUUACAGUUUGUAAUGUGCUUUCCAGAUGCUUCACAAAUGACUGGGAAGGGAGCCCAGUUUGGAGUGGGACACAUCUGCCCUCCUCAACACCCCUACUACAGUGAGGGAAAGGAAUGGCACUUUCAGACCGUCUUCCCAGCCCCCUUCAUUCUUUAUGCUUGCAGCUGUUGUGCUAUUUCAGCAUGUUAAAGGGAAAAUCUUCCAAACCACUUUAGGGUUGAUGAGUAUUGACUGGAUCUUGGACAACAUCAGCAGAAAUUUAUAACAACCAAAUCAAAGGUUGUCUGUUCUCCAGCCUGGCCUGGCCCAACCAGAGGACUUCUAACAGGCUGCAAGCCUGUGAGCUCCUUAGAGAUGAAGGUGCUACAUUAUGGAUCUUUAGAGUUUUUGUGCACAUAAUAGGUGUGCCUAAGGUCUCACAGUGUCCCUGGAACCUAGCUUUGGGUAGUAGAAAAAAGCCCAGGUUGGGAGGGUGACAGAUCAUGGUUAGAAUUCUGGCUUAGCUACCUACUGGCUCUGUGACCUUGACCACAUAACUUGACCUCUCUGAGCCUCAGUUGUCUCACUUGGAAACUGCAUUAAAUAUCUGCUUCACAAUCCCCGCAAGGACUGCAUAUGGUAGUAUUGCACUGUGUCUGGGUUGGGGAAGGCACUCAAUAAACAGUAGGUGGUGUUGUUAUUCACGUUCUAUAAUGAAAGGCCCUAACACUGAAUACAGUAAAUGCAACCCAGAGGCAUGCUCCUUUAAUUAUGUGCCUUUCUCAACUGAGCUACCAUUUUUAGGGUAUCCAUGAAUCCCUGAAGAAUGUUAGAAUUGUAACUUCGUCUUCCUCUGAUGAUGCAGAAAGAACUUUAGGCUGUCAUUAUGUACAUCACCUUUCCAUGCAGGUAAAGAGCCUCAAGGCUGCUUAAUGGACUUUUGGAGAAUGAAAGUUUACUGGAAUUUAACCUAGCUCCCAGGAAUCAUCCGUCCACUCGUUCAUCUAACAAAUAUUUUCACUCGACACCCACCAUGAGCCAGGAACUGGUCUAGGUGCUGGGGAUACUGAAUGGAAGGAGACAGACAAGAGCCUCCCUCAGGUUAACUGAGUUCUGUUAGACUCAGAUAGAAGUGACAAGCAAAGAUCACGUGAAGAAAGAAACUGGGUGUACUGCUAGAGAGAGAUGGGGCAGCCGCUUUGGAUGUAUCACCAAGAAGCCUUCUGCGGUGACAUUUGAGCUGUGACUUGAAUGAUGAGAAGAAGCCAGUCAUGAGAAUAGUUUCAGGGAAAAGGGUCCAGAUGGAAAGAAAAUGCAAAAGUCCUAAGGAGGGAAUGAGCGUGGUGAGUUCGAGGCCCACACGUGGCUGGAGUGGAGGGAAGGAGGGUGCAUGGUGGUGGCAGAGAGAGCAAAGGCAGGCAGGACCAGGCCAUCUGGGAU